UACGUAGGUGGCAAGCGUUGUCCGGAUUUACUGGGCGUAAAGAGCGCGCAGGCGGUCUUGUAAGUCGAAUGUGAAAGCCCCUGGCUCAACCAGGGAGGGUCAUUCGAUACUGCUUGACUCGAAGGCAGGAGAGGGAAGUGGAAUUCCGGGUGUAGUGGUGAAAUGCGUAGAUAUCCGGAGGAACACCAGUGGCGAAGGCGACUUUCUGGCCUGUUCUUGACGCUGAGGCGCGAAAGCUAGGGGAGCAAACGGGAUUAGAAACCCUGGUAGUCC
rnacentral:rRNA from 1 species